rnacentral:rRNA from 1 species
GAUGAACGCUGGCGGCGUGCCUAAUACAUGCAAGUCGAGCGAACGGACGAGAAGCUUGCUUCUCUGAUGUUAGCGGCGGACGGGUGAGUAACACGUGGAUAACCUACCUAUAAGACUGGGAUAACUUCGGGAAACCGGAGCUAAUACCGGAUAAUAUUUUGAACCGCAUGGUUCAAAAGUGAAAGACGGUCUUGCUGUCUCUUAUAGAUGGAUCCGCGCUGCAUUAGCUAGUUGGUAAGGUAACGGCUUACCAAGGCAACGAUGCAUAGCCGACCUGAGAGGGUGAUCGGCCACACUGGAACUGAGACACGGUCCAGACUCCUACGGGAGGCAGCAGUAGGGAAUCUUCCGCAAUGGGCGAAAGCCUGACGGAGCAACGCCGCGUGAGGGAUGAAGGUCUUCGGAUCGUAAACCUCUGUUAUUAGGGAAGAACAUAUGUGUAAGUAAAUGUGCACAUAUUGACGGUACCUAAUCAGAAAGCAACGGCUAACUACGUG